CCUACGGGAGGCAGCAGUGGGGAAUUUUGGACAAUGGGCGCAAGCCUGAUCCAGCAAUGCCGCGUGAGUGAAGAAGGCCUUCGGGUUGUAAAGCUCUUUUGUCAGGGAAGAAACGGUGUGGGCUAAUAUCCCGCACUAAUGACGGUACCUGAAGAAUAAGCACCGGCUAACUACGUGCCAGCAGCCGCGGUAAUACGUAGGGUGCAAGCGUUAAUCGGAAUUACUGGGCGUAAAGCGUGCGCAGGCGGUUUUGUAAGUCUGUCGUGAAAUCCCCGGGCUCAACCUGGGAAUUGCGAUGGAGACUGCAAGGCUAGAAUCUGGCAGAGGGGGGUAGAAUUCCACGUGUAGCAGUGAAAUGCGUAGAGAUGUGGAGGAACACCGAUGGCGAAGGCAGCCCCCUGGGUCAAGAUUGACGCUCAUGCACGAAAGCGUGGGGAGCAAACAGGAUUAGAUACCCUGGUAGUCCACGCCCUAAACGAUGUCUACUAGUUGUCGGGUUUUAAUUAACUUGGUAACGCAGCUAACGCGUGAAGUAGACCGCCUGGGGAGUACGGUCGCAAGAUUAAAACUCAAAUUGAAAUUUGACCGGCNGAGAGNGCGAGACGACGACGAGGAGGAGG
rnacentral:rRNA from 1 species